CAGGUGGUCUGCAGCCGCGGCUGGAAAACCACAGUCCUUGGCUCUGCGUGCGCAGCUCGCCACGGACCUUCGUCAGUGAGCAUGCGGGUGAGCAGAGGGAAAGGAAGGAAGCAGAAAGAGAGAGACACGGAAGCUCAUGGACCAGGACAUGUAUUGGAGGGAGAUGCUGUGGGGGGCCGGGUCAGAGAGCCACUCAAGGGAGGGCACAUCAAAGAGAAAAGGAACGUCAGAGGUGUGUGGAAAUUUCUCCAGAAGGGAGAGAGAACAAACACAUCCUAGUCGAGUUUGCCACCUGCCUGGGUCUUCCGGAAUGACUCGCUUCACGCUCAAGUGUAAUCCUUGAAAGGAAGAGAAUUUCAGCGAACUUGAGUCAACAAAUCAAAACACGACCUAAUAUUUAGGUCUGGUUUUUCCUGUGGGUAAACUGAGGACCCGAAAGAGCUGGGGACCUCAUUCGAGAUCACACGGGCAGAAAGGUGGCAGAGUGGGAACAGCAGCCAAAUCCGGCUUCAAAUCUAGCAGACUCUGCAGUUUCUAAGAAGCUGAGUGAAAAAGAAGAAGCUGGAACGCUGAGGACUCGUCAAGCAUCGUCCUGCAGAGGCCGGGACUAGGGAACGGUUUGAUCCACAAACGGCGGGAGCCUGAAGUCGGCUCCCCUGAUUACCUUUGGUCAUUUUUCGAUUUGUUGACUGUUAGAAAAAAAUCCAGGCUGGGGACGUAGGCUUGCUGCAAAGGAUAAAUUACAAGCAGAAACUCUCACGCCGAUACGCUUGCGUCUGUUAAGCCCAUCUUCUUGCGCAGCGACAGGCCCUGCGGACAACUGACUCGCGUUUGGGCUGAGCACAGGCUCCCCCAGAAACCACUUUCCCCAGACAGUCCCGCAGAACUAAAUAGCAUCAGCUCAUCUGGGCUCAACCUUUGAAGAAAACCAGAUAAUACUGGGCUCAACCCAGUUUAGGCAGUGACUCUUUCUUCUAAAAACAAAGAAGGAGACAGACAGAAUUCCUGCCUGAAUCCGUUCACCCUGCCCCUGUGGCCAAGCCCCAGGAAUUCUGCCCUGGCAGGGAAGAUUCAGACAGACCUCAGCACUUUUCUGAGAAACGGGGAUUUGGGCCAGAAUCUCCUCCCAUGAUUCUGGUUCCCAGAGCGGCCACAAGGCACGUCAGCGGGAGCCGGCCCUCCAGAGCUUUCCAAGUCCCCGGAGCGAAGCUCAGGAAUCUUGAGACUUUUUUCUAUUUUUACU